CCCUUAGAUGUUCUGGGCCGCACGCGCGCUACACUGAUGCAUUCAACGAGUUUCUUCCUGGUCCGAGAGGAAUGGGUAACCUUUUGAAAGUGCAUCGUGAUAGGGAUAGACUAUUGCAAUUAUUGGUCUUCAACGAGGAAUUCCUAGUAGACGUAGUUCAUCAGACUGCAUCGAUUACGUCCCUGCCCUUUGUACACACCGCCCGUCGCUACUACCGAUUGAAUGGUUUAGUGAGGCCUUCGGAUCCGCGACUCGUUUUGUGGAGAAGUUGGACAAACUCAGUCAUUUAGAGGAAGUAAAAGUCGUAACA
rnacentral:rRNA from 1 species